UGCUGUGAAUGAUGAGAUUAUCAAAUUUACAGUUAUCCCUGUCUGAUAUAUCAGGUGAUGAGAAUUUGUAAUCUGACACACAC
rfam:Lupinus angustifolius cultivar Tanjil chromosome LG16, whole genome shotgun sequence.